AGGUAGCGAAAUUCCUUGUCGGGUAAGUUCCGACCCGCACGAAAGGCGUAACGAUCUGGGCGCUGUCUCAACAAGAGACUCGGUGAAAUCAUAGUACCUGUGAAGAUGCAGGUUACCCGCGACAGGACGGAAAGACCCCGUGGAGCUUUACUGUAGCUUGAUAUUGAGCACUGGUGACACAUGUACAGGAUAGGUAGGAGACGAAGAAGCCAGGACGCCAGUCUUGGUGGAGUCGCUGUUGGGAUACUACCCUUGUGUUACUGGGGUUCUAACCCGUGGCCAUGAUCUGGUCAGGGAACAGUGUCAGGUGGGCAGUUUGACUGGGGCGGUCGCCUCCCAAAGAGUAACGGAGGCGCCCAAAGGUUCCCUCAGAAUGGUUGGAAAUCAUUCGAAGAGUGUAAAGGCAGAAGGGAGCUUGACUGCGAGACCUACAAGUCGAGCAGGGACGAAAGUCGGGCUUAGUGAUCCGGCGGUGCUGAAUGGAAGGGCCGUCGCUCAACGGAUAAAAGCUACCCUGGGGAUAACAGGCUGAUCUCCCCCAAGAGUUCACAUCGACGGGGAGGUUUGGCACCUCGAUGUCGGCUCAUCGCAUCCUGGGGCUGUAGUCGGUCCCAAGGGUUGGGCUGUUCGCCCAUUAAAGCGGUACGCGAGCUGGGUUCAGAACGUCGUGAGACAGUUCGGUCCCUAUCCGUCGUGGGCGUAGGAAAUUUGAGAGGAGCUGUCCUUAGUACGAGAGGACCGGGAUGGACACACCGCUGGUGUACCAGUUGUUCUGCCAGGAGCAUAGCUGGGUAGCUACGUGUGGACGGGAUAAACGCUGAAAGCAUCUAAGCGUGAAGCCCCCCUCAAGAUGAGAUUUCCCAUUCGAAAGAAGUAAGAUCCCUUGAAGACGACAAGGUAGAUAGGUCAGAAGUGGAAGUGUGGUGACACAUGGAGCGGACUGAUACUAAUCGAUCGAGGACUUAACCAA
rnacentral:rRNA from 1 species